rnacentral:rRNA from 1 species
CCUACGGGUGGCAGCAGUGGGGAAUAUUGGACAAUGGGCGAAAGCCUGAUCCAGCCAUGCCGCGUGUGUGAAGAAGGCCUUCGGGUUGUAAAGCACUUUCAGUGGGGAAGAAAGCCUUGGGGCUAAUACCCUCGAGGAAGGACAUCACCCACAGAAGAAGCACCGGCUAACUCCGUGCCAGCAGCCGCGGUAAUACGGAGGGUGCGAGCGUUAAUCGGAAUUACUGGGCGUAAAGCGCGCGUAGGCGGUCUGAUAAGCCGGUUGUGAAAGCCCCGGGCUCAACCUGGGAACGGCAUCCGGAACUGUCAGGCUAGAGUGAAGGAGAGGAAGGUAGAAUUCCCGGUGUAGCGGUGAAAUGCGUAGAGAUCGGGCGGAAUACCAGUGGCGAAGGCGGCCUUCUGGACUGUCACUGACGCUGAGGUGCGAAAGCGUGGGUAGCAAACAGGAUUAGAUACCCCUGUAGUC